UACGUAGGGUGCAAGCGUUAAUCGGAAUUACUGGGCGUAAAGCGUGCGCAGGCGGUUGUGCAAGACAGAUGUGAAAUCCCCGGGCUUAACCUGGGAAUUGCAUUUGUGACUGCACGGCUAGAGUGCGUCAGAGGGAGGUAGAAUUCCACGUGUAGCAGUGAAAUGCGUAGAUAUGUGGAGGAAUACCGAUGGCGAAGGCAGCCCCCUGGGAUGACACUGACGCUCAUGCACGAAAGCGUGGGGAGCAAACAGG
rnacentral:rRNA from 1 species